UGCACACACAUGCGCACACACACAAACACCCACAUGUGCACACACGCACACAUAACAUCGUGAAAGGGGCAGACAUCGGUCCUUGUUCUGUGAUUUGACAAAACUUCUUUUAGAUCUUUUUUUUUGUUCUGCACCGUCAUCAGUCUGCCACCAGGGGGCCCCCAAGCGUGAAAAAAACAGAAGCUCAGAGGCAAAACAGUGAAUGGACUCUUCUGGAGAAAUGACGCCUUUGUAAAUGAGAUGAUUUUUCCUGAUGAAAGAGGACACAGAUGGGUUUCUUUGGAUCUUAUGUGUGUUGUGUUCUAUUAGACAUGGAGUCCCUGCCACGCACCUCCACACCUUUGUGCUGGAGCCUGAUGUGACGUCAAACCGGGCAACAGAAAAAAAACUGUAUUGCCAUGGAAACCCAUUCUCUGUUUCAGCAUGAGCUGCAGUGUUGUCCAAAUGUACACUAGGAGGGGAAAAAGAUCCCUGUUCACAGCUGCAAAGGCAGCAUUCCACUGUACAGCCUCAGCCUGGGAUGUCUUUGGCUGCAGCUCUGGGCUGCUGAUGGGAGGCUGCAUCAUAAACAUGUUUUAUCGAGUGUUUAAA